UUGAAGAUGCCAUAGGAACUACAGUAGCAUGGCCAACAGAUAAAGUGGUUAUAUUGUAGAGUACCGGAAAUGGAAGGAGAAAAUGGAGAAAAGUAAACAUGCAUGGGCAGUCACUAGAAACCUUUUUGGGAGCUGAAUGUUAGAGUAAAAUAUUUUUUUAUUGUUUAUUUUUUAAAUAGCGUAGUAGGUUGUUCUCGGAUGUUAAAGUUAUCAGGAUACUUCAUUAAACAUAAUAAGUACUUUGUUCUUUUAGUAAUUAAAAUUUAUGAGUCAUUACUCAUAUUGCACCAUAA